UACGGAGGGGGCUAGCGUUGUCCGGAAUUAUUGGGCGUAAAGGGCGCGUAGGCGGCGAUUCAAGUCAGCCGUGAAAGGCCUGGGCUCAACCCGGGAACUGCGUUUGAUACUGGAUUGCUGGAGUCCGGGAGAGGAUGGCGGAAUUCCCAGUGUAGAGGUGAAAUUCGUAGAUAUUGGGAAGAACACCGGUGGCGAAGGCGGCCAUCUGGACCGGAACUGACGCUGAGGCGCGAAAGCGUGGGGAGCAAACAGG
rnacentral:rRNA from 1 species